rnacentral:rRNA from 1 species
UACGGGGGGGGCAAGCGUUGUUCGGAAUUACUGGGCGUAAAGGGCUCGUAGGCGGCCAACUAAGUCGGACGUGAAAUCCCUCAGCUUAACUGGGGAACUGCGUCCGAUACUGGAAGGCUUGAAUCCGGGAGAGGGAUGCGGAAUUCCAGGUGUAGCGGUGAAAUGCGUAGAUAUCUGGAGGAACACCGGUGGCGAAGGCGGCAUCCUGGACCGACACUGACGCUGAGGCGCGAAAGCUAGGGGAGCAAACGGGG